CCUGUCCUCUGCCAUCCCCCGGAGACCAUUUAAGCUGCUUCAGUGACUCCAUCCAGCCACCUCAUUCUCUGUCGUCCCUUUCUUCUUUUGCCCUCAAUCGUUCCCAGCAUUAGGCUCUUCUCCAUCAUAGGAUAAUGCAGUCAACCUAAACUGAACCAGCAGUGAAGACGGACACGGCACAGAAUGUAAUGCAGAUAAAGCUCAGUGGAAUGUAUAGCUGAAUGGGCAAGUAUAAAUUGCUACCUGAAGCUAUUCAUCUUAUGUUGUCCCUUUCUAAGAGUUUAGAAAAUGUAACGAUAAAUUUUAAAAUGCAUCUAAGCUGCAUCAAUAACCCCAGGCCCGUAAGGACCCACUUAAUAUACAAGACUUUCAGUUGUGGCACUAUGUGAAGGUGUCUUACAUGGAGUCUUGCAUUUUGUUCAUCAAGGCACACACAAUCUGUUUGAUAUCAGUUCUGGAAAACUUUACCAGAGAGUUGUUUCCUUGCUCCAGUGCUAGUGAGUAUAAUGCAUACACUAAUAUGAAAUCAAAUUUUGAAAGAGAGAAAUGGACAGUGUCUUUACUUGCUUCAAAAUAAAAGGACAGUGUUUUAGUAUA